UUGUGUCUAUAAAAUGAGCUGCUCGUAAUGCCUAGAUAAUCCUUUCUACUGUAGUUUAUAACAUUUAAAUACAUAAUGUUAGCCAUGGAUAAUUGCAAAUAUGUUGCUACUGCUCUCAAUAAUAUUGCCUCUCUGAAUUUAUCAGGCGCUCUCGACUAAGGUCAGUGGGAAAAGUUGUGAUGGACUACUUUCUGGACGAUGAAUGCUGACUCUCUCUCAUUCUGAAAAUAACACUUUUUGAAAUCAGUGGAACACAACAGACCAAACAAGCUGUGCAAACUAAACGGAAACAACACAGGAUGUCUUAAUAAAGGGGUAUCAGUCUGCCGUGAAGGAUUCAUCCAUGUAUACAGAUAACAGGAGCCAGGUGCGAAAUAACGGUAUCGAGCAUGAGCGCAUAGAUAUUCUUCACAGCAACAGUUACAUCUAUCAACUGAAGCGCUUAGGGGGCUGGGACCAGCUCUGCGCCAACAAUCAACGUUAGGCUGGUAGAACACGCCUGACUCUGAUCCACCAGUCAUAGUCAUCAAAAAGAGAGGAAGCGCAAGCAAUGGCAGCAGCGCAGUCAUCAACUGCACGCACCAUUUCUUCACCAACUACAGAGUUGGAAAAACACGUGUGGACCUGAAUUGUGAUAACUGCAGUGGCCAAAACAAGAACAAGUUUGUGCUCUGGUAUUGUGCCUGGUGGACCAUGCAUAAGCUCCAGCAUAAUCUGGACCUUCACUUCCUGAUCACAGGCCACACCAAGUUUGCCCCCAGACUGGCGCUUCGGCCUCAUCAAGCAGCUCUUCAGAAAGACCAGAGUGAACACUUUGUCUGAGGUUGCUGGUGUUGUGAAGGACAGCACUGUGACAGGGGUCAACAUCCCACAGCUGGUUGGACUGGAGGAUGUUACGGUGCUGUUGGAAAGCUAUGGCUGGCAACAACACCUGACUCCAUACUUCAGGCUGCUGCCACAAAUCAAGCAGUACCAGCACUUCAGCUAAGAGGCUUUGGAGCCUGAUGUUGUCGCCAAGGAGCAUUCGGACUGUCAUGAUCAGGUUUCAGCUGCUGUGCUACGCUGACAUCCUUCCUCCCAUAGAUGGUCUGCCUGUAAAAGCAUCACCUGGACUGGACACAGCUAGACAAACUAUCUUUUUGACAAGAUCAGGGAGUUUUGCGACGAAGAGGCUAUGGACAAUCCAAGCCCUGCACCAAAGUCAAGGGCAGGACAGAAACAGGCUCUCCGAAUAUAGAUUCCCUUGUUCAUGCGUGGUUUGGACGGACCAGUCAUCUGCACUAUCUGCAGUGCCUCUAUUCACAUGACUCUCUCCUAACACACACGCCAUACGUUGUUGCUACUAUUUUUUUGAUUAUCCCGCUGCUCAGCCACUUUACCCCUGAUCGUAUGCAUAUAACUUCCUCGUCUAUCACUGAUAUCGUUAUUGAUAUUGCUCUAGUACAUACUGUAUAUUUUAUUUAUAUUGACACUAUCUAUUUCUGAUAUUGCUACUAUGUACAAACAAUUUUGCUGUACCGUUUACACCUUCUGUAGAGACCAAUGACUUAGCAAGACUGAUUAAUAUUGAUGUGGGGUUGUAACAUGAUUUUGUGACAUACCACAACAACAUCAUGUGACCGCAUCAAGUGUCCACCACAUAAAUAUAAGUGACGCAUGCAUCUGUUUAUGUACUGUACAUGUGCAAAAAAACUAAAACUCCCUCAGGUUGCAUGGCCUUAAAACGUAUGUAUAUAAUACUAUGUGAUAAGUGCAUGUGUAACAGUAUAUAAAGUAUGCUAAUGUACUGGUGUGAAGGCAUUUGGGCAGUGGUGUAAAGUACUUAAGUAAAAAUACUUUAAAGUACUACUUAAGUAGUUUUUUUUGUGGCAUCUGUACAUUACUAUUUAUAUUUUUGUCAACUUUAACUUCACUA